rnacentral:rRNA from 1 species
CUGGUUGAUCCUGCCAGUAGUCAUAUGCUUGUCUCAAAGAUUAAGCCAUGCAUGUCUCAGUGCAAGCCGCAUUAAGGUGAAACCGCGAAAGGCUCAUUAAAUCAGUUGUGGUUCCUUAGAUCGUACCCAAGUUACUUGGAUAACUGUGGUAAUUCUAGAGCUAAUACAUGCCGACAGAGUUCCGACCGUCGCGGCGCCCUCGGGUGUCGCGUGCGGGAGGAACGCUUUUAUUAGAUCAAAACCGGCCCGUCGCGGCGCGCUUCGUGCGCGUCCCGAUCGCGGCCCGCGCAAAGACCUGGUGACUCUGAAUAACUUCGAGCUGAUCGCACGGUCUCCGUACCGGCGACGCAUCUUUCAAAUGUCUGCCUUAUCAACUGUCGACGGUAGGUUCCAUGCCUACCGUGGUGGUAACGGGUAACGGGGAAUCAGGGUUCGAUUCCGGAGAGGGAGCCUGAGAAACGGCUACCACAUCCAAGGAAGGCAGCAGGCGCGCAAAUUACCCACUCCCGGAACGGGGAGGUAGUGACGAAAAAUAACGAUACGGGACUCAUCCGAGGCCCCGUAAUCGGAAUGAGAACACUUUAAAACCUUUAAACGAGGAUCAAUUGGAGGGCAAGUCUGGUGCCAGCAGCCGCGGUAAUUCCAGCUCCAAUAGCGUAUAUUAAAGUUGUUGCGGUUAAAAAGCUCGUAGUCGGAUCUGUGUCUGGGCGGUGCCGGACCACCCUGGCGGU